CGCUAUCACUCCUACGGGAGGCAGCAGUGGGGAAUAUUGCACAAUGGGCGCAAGCCUGAUGCAGCCAUGCCGCGUGUGUGAAGAAGGCCUUCGGGUUGUAAAGCACUUUCAGUCGUGAGGAAGGUGGUAGUGUUAAUAGCACUAUCAUUUGACGUUAGCGACAGAAGAAGCACCGGCUAACUCCGUGCCAGCAGCCGCGGUAAUACGGAGGGUGCGAGCGUUAAUCGGAAUUACUGGGCGUAAAGCGCAUGCAGGUGGUUUGUUAAGUCAGAUGUGAAAGCCCCGGGGCUCAACCUCGGAAUUGCAUUUGAAACUGGCAGGCUAGAGUCUUGUAGAGGGGGUAGAAUUUCAGGUGUAGCGGUGAAAUGCGUAGAGAUCUGAAGGAAUACCAGUGGCGAAGGCGGCCCCCUGGACAAAGACUGACGCUCAGAUGCGAAAGCGUGGGGAGCAAACAGGAUUAGAUACCCUGGUAG
rnacentral:rRNA from 1 species